AGAGUUUGAUCCUGGCUCAGAAUGAACGCUGGCGGCGUGCCUAACACAUGCAAGUCGAACGCGAAAAGGACUUCGGUCCUGAGUAAAGUGGCGCACGGGUGAGUAACGCGUGGGUAAUCUGCCCUUGGAUUUGGAAUAACUCCGCGAAAGUGGAGCUAAUACCGGAUAGUCUGGCUUUUUAACGAAGUCGGUAAAGGAUGCCUCUGCAUAUGCAUUCGUCCGAGGAUGAGCCCGCGUCUCAUUAGCUAGUUGGUAGGGUAAUGGCCUACCAAGGCAACGAUGAGUAGCUGGUCUGAGAGGAUGAUCAGCCACACUGGAACUGAAACACGGUCCAGACUCCUACGGGAGGCAGCAGUGGGGAAUAUUGCGCAAUGGGCGAAAGCCUGACGCAGCAACGCCGUGUGAGGGAUGAAGGCUUUCGGGUCGUAAACCUCUGUCGGAAGGGAAGAACGGGCAUUGGUCUAAUAGGCCUUUGUUUUGACGGUACCUUCAGAGGAAGCACCGGCUAACUCCGUGCCAGCAGCCGCGGUAA
rnacentral:rRNA from 1 species